rnacentral:hammerhead_ribozyme from 1 species
AUCUAACUGACGAGUCCCAAAUAGGAUGAAAUGUGCUUCAUUGAU